GUUCCGUGUGUCCCGCGUUGCCGCCGUGCCGCCCCUUCCUUCUGCUGCUGCUGCCUGCGCUGCUGCCGCUGCGCCGAGCCCGCGCGCGACCACCCGCCCGCGUGCUGUGCGCCAUCGCCAGCCAUGGCCGCGCGGCCUCGAGCCGAGCCGAUGUGUGCCUCUCCGCCCCGCUCGCCGCCUCGCAUCGCCACCGGCCCGCCUCCACCUCACCGACGCACGCAUGAGGUGCGCCUCGCGCCCCUGGACCUCCCCACGCCGGCCUCGCCGCCGGCGAGAACACUGCCGCUACCGCUGCCGCCAUGGCCGCCGCCCGCACCUCCACGCCGAGCCGUCGACCGAGCUCGUCCCGCCCUCCACCAACCCCUAAAUCCGCUUGCUCUCGUCCCAACGAAGCCCCCAGGCCCGGCCAUCACCUCCAUGCCUCGCCGGAACGUCGCCGGAGCGGCACAGCACCGCCACCGCCCGCCACCCGCCGUGGAGCCGCCGCCACAGACCGCCUCCUCGCGCUCCAAGGCCACCUACAGGUACGAUAGAUGAACCAUAUGAAGGACGUGCUACUGGAGCCGAACCCGAAGACGAUGUUGGUGGACAUAUCCCGAAGACGGAUGGAUGGAACCCGAUGUGCAUGACCAAAGAAAGAUGCUCGCCAAGCGAGUAUCAUCUAACUAACACUGACUUAGUGUUAAUCUCAGGCAAGCCCCGGUGCACAUCCUAUUAUUUGAAAUUAUGACACCUAUAUAUGUAUUUAUUACUUGUGCAUUACGUUUCAGGAGUUGAUUGAAACCCUAGUUGCAUGAUCCCUAGGUUUCCCUGAAUUAUACUAGCAUGUAUAGGACGAUAGAAAUGCUAUGCUUAAUACUUCUCGAUAGAAGUCGAGUGACUUUUUUCACUCGCGAGAUAUAUGAUACUUAGAAGUCGAGUAAUUUCCGGUUACUCGCGAGAUAUAGGUUAUAUACUUAUAUACAGUACCUGAGUUGUUGAAAUUGACAUGGAAAUAUGAGACUGGGCGGGGAAUGAUGAUGAUGUAUAGGUAUGGCA